AGUGAGAGAGCCGACGCCACAUGCGCCACAGGCUGAGCCCGGCUGCAGUAAGGUGCCAACAUCAAGGAAUCCCUGGUCACCCUGGGGAGCGUCAUCACAGCUUUGGCUGACCUCAGCGUGGGUGGACUGUUGACAAAGAAGAAGAAGAAGCAGACCUUCAUUCCGUACAGAGACUCGUUGCUGACACGGCUACUUAAAGAGAGCCUGGGUGGAAACUCUGUGACUACCAAAAUCCAUUUCUCCUGCUGAUGUGAACCACGAUGAAACCCUGAGCACUUUGUGCUAUGCCAGUCAAGCUAGAAACAUAGUGAACUCUCCCACAGAGAAUGAAACAGCAGUGUGAAGGUUAUCAGAGAGCUGCAGGCAGAGGUAGCCAGGCUCCAAAGGCUGCUGGAAGACGCCAAUCAGGUCUCCCGUGGGGAGCUGUCUUCCUCUGUGCUAGUAGAAGAGGAGCUGCAUCAGAAUGAGGCAAAGGUUCUUGUACUGACCAAGGAAUGGACCAGCAAGUGGAAUGAGACUCAGAGUAUCCUGCAGGAUGGUACACUGUGUUCAGUCAAUGGCUCUGUGGUCACCGGUCCCUGCCAGCUCACUCAGGGUAGCAUCAUACAACUCAGAACUUGUACCAGGUUUAACUACCUGACCGAAGCUGCCCACCUCCGAGAGAGAGAGACGCCAGGUACAGACAGAACUUCACACUGAGAGUGGGCCGCUGUGUGUCUUGAGCCUGCCCCUGACUGACAUGUCCAAGUCCACAGAGAAUCUGUCUAAACUCGAUGCUGCAGAAGCCAGGUCUGAUGGAUAAGCUGGAUGCAGGCACGGCAGAGCCCAAAGUGCCAAGAACCUUUCUUACAUCCACCUCAACAGAGAAUCUCCCAACUACAGUAUGAUUUCACAUUUUUUGUAGCAUUAAUAAUAGCCCUUUAAUAAACUCCUACAAUAAAAUAUA